AGAUCUGGUUCUUCGUUCUCCUUCUCUUAAACUCUGCCGCUCCAUAACCCUAGACAGCCUUCCUUUCCAUUCUGCUUCAUCUCCAUUCUGGUUCACGCAUAUGCAUUCGAACGAUUCAAGCAUCAGUUACUAUGGAGAAAUCAGAGUCGGUGGUAGCCAAAACAAGAGGGGAGCAUAGAUUUCGACUGGUUGGAAGAUAGAGAAAAAAAGAGGGUGAUGGUGGAUUCAAGUGAUUCUGUAUUCGUUGAUUUGGAAACGAUUUAUAUUUGGUGGAAAGGACAUUAACAACACCAGUCAAAUUAAACAAGUCCUUGGAAGCCAUCAAGACACAUGUAUUUGUUGCAUCUGAAUAUCCUGUCAUCCUCACUCUUGAAGAUCACCUGACUCCUGAUUUUCAAGCCAAAGUUGCAAAGGUGGAUACAUUCAUUACAGAACGUUGCGGCAGAAACAGGAACAUACUCAAAAAGACGAUGUCAUCCUUUUAGAUUAAAUGAUUCUAAAAGUGCGAAGCGUAAAAAUUCUGUUGACUGGAUCGUAUCCGCAACACGCAUGUGGAUGAGAUCAUGCCAGAUGUGAUAGCACCGUCCCAAUGGAAAAUUUUCGGGCUUCGCCUCUUUAAAGAAGUAAAAGAUAGUAAUAAUUCAAGUGAGAGCCAACGGGCUGGUCAACCAGCUAUAAUGGCGGUUGGUGUGGUUGAGGGAACAUCAAAGGCCGUUUUUAGAAUCCUCAUGUCUAUCGGUCCUUCUAGAUACGAAUGGGAUUUUUGUUUCAAUGGUGGCACUGUGGUUGAACAUCUUGACGGUCAUACAGACAUAAUACACAUGCAACUAUGUAGAGAUUGGCUACCAUGGGGAAUUUCGAGGUUUACUCUUGAGGCGAUAUUGGAGAAGGGAAAAUGACGGGACAUAUGUUAUACUAUAUCACUCGGUGAUCCAUAGCAAGUGUCCAACACAAGAUAGUUACAUCCGAGCUUACAUUCGCAGUGGAGGAUUUGUGGUUAGCCCUCUGAAUCAAGGAAAAGAAUCUGUUGUUAAAACAUGCCUUCGGUUGAUUGGAAGUUGUGGAAAUACUAUUUUCCAAGAACAUCUACAAGGUCUCUGACAAUUCGUAUGCUUGGUAGAGUUUCAGAUAAUAAUUGCAGUGGGUUUUAUUGUGACUGUUGUCACACCCCGAAAUUAUCAGAGCAUGGCGUGACUGGACCGGUAUCUUCAUUGCACAGCGGAAGCAAAAAGCUAAGA